UACGUAGGGUGCGAGCGUUAAUCGGAAUUACUGGGCGUAAAGCGUGCGCAGGCGGUGAUGUAAGACAGGUGUGAAAUCCCCGGGCUAACCUGGGAACUGCAUUUGUGACUGCAUCGCUGGAGUGCGGCAGAGGGGGAUGGAAUUCCGCGUGUAGCAGUGAAAUGCGUAGAUAUGCGGAGGAACACCGAUGGCGAAGGCAAUCCCCUGGGCCUGCACUGACGCUCAUGCACGAAAGCGUGGGGAGCAAACAGG
rnacentral:rRNA from 1 species